CAAGUGGAGUUUGCUGGAAGCAUGGCCUGUGAAGAAGCUCUGAAGUCAUCAGGUGUCCAUUAGCAGUUGUCUUUGCCGAACAUUGCCUCUUCCUCCAGAGCUGGCAGAAUGUGUGAUGAGAGAGGUCCUCAACCCUUGUAGUGCUCUAUCAUCUAUUUCACCUUCAUUUAUUAAAUAACAGCAGUUUUUAAAGUGUUUCAAGUUUGCCCAGUUGAUUUGGUACUGAAACAGGUUAGAGCAUUUAAAAUAAAAUCAAGGAAACACAGUGCUCACGGACUGAGGCAAUUGGAUUCCUCUGGAACAAUAUGAAACAAGACUUAACAACAAACUGCUGAGUGGUAUCACCAUGUCAAUGGAUUACUUUCUUCCCAACUUCUGG